UACGGGGGGGGGCAAGCGUUGUUCGGAAUUACUGGGCGUAAAGGGCUCGUAGGUGGCCAACUAAGUCAGACGUGAAAUCCCUCGGCUUAACCGGGGAACUGCGUCUGAUACUGGAUGGCUUGAGUUUGGGAGAGGGAUGCGGAAUUCCAGGUGUAGCGGUGAAAUGCGUAGAUAUCUGGAGGAACACCGGUGGCGAAGGCGGCGUCCUGGACCAACACUGACACUGAGGAGCGAAAGCCAGGGGAGCAAACGGG
rnacentral:rRNA from 1 species